rnacentral:rRNA from 1 species
UACAGAGGUGGCAAGCGUUGUUCGGAAUUACUGGGCGUAAAGGGCGCGUAGGCGGUCUUGUAAGUCUUGUGUGAAAUCCCUCGGCUUAACUGAGGAACUGCACGGGAUACUGCGAGACUUGAGAUCGGGAGAGGGAAGCGGAAUUCCGGGUGUAGCGGUGAAAUGCGCAGAUAUCCGGAGGAACACCGGUGGCGAAGGCGGCUUCCUGGACCGACACUGACGCUGAGGCGCGAAAGCUAGGGGAGCAAACGGG